AAAAACUAUUUUGGCUUCAUCAAAUCAUAGGCCUUCAUCAUAGCAGUUAGCCUUCCAGUUUAUUUAUAGUUCAAUGGACGUGAGCGAGUUAAAAUUUUCGUGGACGUCAAACAAUAAGGAAACGACUAGAGCAAAGCUAGAGUUACGCUUCUGGUAUAACUUCCUAUUCUGUGCCAAUAGUGAUGGUGGCGAUUACCGACUACUUGUUAGUGAUGGGCGAUUACCGAUUACUUGGUAUCGAUACCACCCGAUACCAGGCCCAAACAGGAAGUAGUCGAUACUGCACGGUAUCGAAAAAGCGUUUCGAUUACUUUUAAAAUUAGACAUUCAUUAUAAUCCUGUAGUUGUGUCAUCGUUUUCAUGGUUAUUUCUAACAAAAUUUAUGUACUUUUUUGUAUUUUGCUGCAUUUAUCAGUUUAAUCAAACUUCCUUUAUACUUUAUUUGACAUUCUAUCCUCGCCGACAGAAUAAAUUAUGAAAAAGGCGGGAAAUAAAGUAAUUUUUGUUUUUUAUGGAUUAAAAUGGCGGAUCAAAUCGUUACUGUUAAAAAUACGUAACUUUCUGAAAAUAUAUUGUUACUGUUACAGUAGAAGGCUACUUCUUUAACAGUCGGCUCUUUAUUAAGUGAUUUACAUUAAUUAUUUUGAAAAUUGGAGGACGUAAUCGUUUGGGUAUAAAUCGAUACCUCGAUACUUUAACCAAAAAGUAAUCGGUAUCGUAUCGAAACCGAUACUGGUGGUAUCGCCCAUCACUACUACUUGUCGUAUAUUUAUAAGUAAUAGCAUAAAAAGAAGCGAAUUAGCUAUUAAAACGUCCCGCCCGAUGAGGGUCGUUUAGUAUAAUUCCCUUGGGCGCCGCUCGAUGAG